AUUGAACGCUGGCGGCAGGCCUAACACAUGCAAGUCGAGCGGAUGAAGGGAGCUUGCUCCUGGAUUCAGCGGCGGACGGGUGAGUAAUGCCUAGGAAUCUGCCUGGUAGUGGGGGAUAACGUCCGGAAACGGGCGCUAAUACCGCAUACGUCCUGAGGGAGAAAGUGGGGGAUCUUCGGACCUCACGCUAUCAGAUGAGCCUAGGUCGGAUUAGCUAGUUGGUGGGGUAAAGGCCUACCAAGGCGACGAUCCGUAACUGGUCUGAGAGGAUGAUCAGUCACACUGGAACUGAGACACGGUCCAGACUCCAACGGGAGGCAGCAGUGGGGAAUAUUGGACAAUGGGCGAAAGCCUGAUCCAGCCAUGCCGCGUGUGUGAAGAAGGUCUUCGGAUUGUAAAGCACUUUAAGUUGGGAGGAAGGGCAGUAAGUUAAUACCUUGCUGUUUUGACGUUACCAACAGAAUAAGCACCGGCUAACUUCGUG
rnacentral:rRNA from 1 species